GACGAACGCUGGCGGCGUGCUUAACACAUGCAAGUCGAGCGGUAAGGCCCUUUCGGGGGUACACGAGCGGCGAACGGGUGAGUAACACGUGGGUGACCUGCCCUCAGCUCUGGGAUAAGCCUGGGAAACUGGGUCUAAUACUGGAUAUGACUCCACGGUGCAUGUCGUGGGGUGGAAAGCCUUGUGCGGCUGAGGAUGGGCCCGCGGCCUAUCAGCUUGUUGGUGGGGNGAUGGCCUACCAAGGCGACGACGGGUAGCCGGCCUGAGAGGGCGACCGGCCACACUGGGACUGAGACACGGCCCAGACUCCUACGGGAGGCAGCAGUGGGGAAUCUUGCGCAAUGGGCGAAAGCCUGACGCAGCGACGCCGCGUGAGGGAUGACGGCCUCGGC
rnacentral:rRNA from 1 species